GAUGAACGCUAGCGAUAGGCUUAACACAUGCAAGUCGAGGGGCAGCACAAGGUAGCUUGCUAUCUGGGUGGCGACCGGCGCACGGGUGCGUCACGCGUAUGCAACUUGCCCUAUACAGGAGGAUAACCCGUCGAAAGACGGACUAAUACUGCGUAUGCUCACAACUUGGCAUCAAGUGGUGAGGAAAGAAAUUCGGUAUAGGAUAGGCAUGCGUCCCAUUAGCUUGUUGGUGAGGUAACGGCUCACCAAGGCAACGAUGGGUAGGGGAACUGAGCGGUUUACCCCCCACACUGGUAACGAGACACGGACCAGACUCCGACGGAAGGGAGCAGUGAGGAAUACUGGUCAAUGGGCGCGAGCCUGAACCAGCCAAGUCGCGUGAAGGAGGCCUGUCUUAUGGAUUGUAAACUUCUUUUAAACGGGAAAAACAAGAGUCACGGGUGACUCCCUGCAUGUACCGUAUGAAUAAGCAUCGGCUAACUCCGUG
rnacentral:rRNA from 1 species